GACGGGAGAGACUAACAGGAUUCCCCUAGUAACUGCGAGUGAAGCGGGAAAAGCUCAAAUUUAAAAUCUGGCAGUCUCUGGCUGUCCGAGUUGUAAUCUAGAGAAGUAAUGCCCGUGCUGGACCGUGUAUAAGUCUCCUGGGAUGGGGCGUCAUAGAGGGUGAGAAUCCCGUCUUUGACACGGACUACCAGUGCAUUGUGGUAUGCUCUCAAAGAGUCGAGUUGUUUGGGAAUGCAGCUCAAAAUGGGUGGUAAAUUCCAUCUAAAGCUAAAUAUUGGCGAGAGACCGAUAGCGAACAAGUACCGUGAGGGAAAGAUGAAAAGAACUUUGGAAAGAGAGUUAAACAGUACGUGAAAUUGCUGAAAGGGAAACGCUUGAAGUCAGUCGCGUUGGCCGGGAAUCAGCCUUGCUUUUGCAUGGUGUACUUUCUGGUUGACGGGUCAGCAUCAAUUUUGAUCGCUGGAAAAAGGCCUGGGGAAUGUGGCAGCUUCGGCUGUGUUAUAGCCCCUAGUCGCAUACAGUGGUUGGGAUUGAGGAACUCAGCACGCCGCAAGGCCGGGUUUCGACCACGUUCGUGCUUAGGAUGCUGGCAUAAUGGCUUUAAGCGACCCGUCUUGAAACACGGACCAAGGAGUCUAACAUGCCUGCGAGUAUUUGGGUGGAAAACUCAAGUGCGUAAUGAAAGUGAAAGUUGAGAUCCCUGUCGUGGGGAGCAUCGACGCCCGGACCAGAACUUUUGGGACGGAUCCGCGGUGGAGCAUGUAUGUUGGGACCCGAAAGAUGGUGAACUAUGCCUGAAUAGGGUGAAGCCAGAGGAAACUCUGGUGGAGGCUCGUAGCGAUUCUGACGUGCAAAUCGAUCGUCAAAUUUGGGUAUAGGGGCGAAAGACUAAUCGAACCAUCUAGGGGCCU
rnacentral:rRNA from 1 species